CAGUGCAAGAAUGAACUAAUACAGGCAAGACCUCACUAUGUUUCCCAGACUGGUUUGGAAUUCCUGCGCUUCAAGCCAUCCUCCUGCCUCAGCCUCUCAAAGUGCUGCUGGGAUUACAGCAGUGAAUCACAGUGCCUGACCCUAAUGGUCUGAGUUUAAGCUGCCAUGUAAGAAGUGCUUUUCAUCUCCCGCCAUGAUUCUGAGGCCUCCCCAGCCAUGUGGAAUUGUAAGUCCAAUUAAACUUCCUUUUCUUCCCAGUCUCAGGUAUGUCUUUGUCAGCAGUGUGAAAAUGGAGUAAUACAGUAAAUUGGUACCAGUAGAGUGGGGCAUAGCUGAAAAGAUACCCGAAAAUGUGGAAGCAACUUUGGAACUUGGUAACAGGCAAAGGUUGGAACAGUUUGAAGAAGACAGGAAAAUGUAGGAAAGUUUGGAAUCUCCUGAAGACUUGCUGAAUGGCUUUGACAAAAAUGCUGAUAGUGAUGUAAACAAUAAGGUCCAGGCUGAGGUGGUCUCAGAUAGUGAUGAGAAACUUGUUGGGAACUGGAGAAAAGGUGACUCCUGUUAUAUUUUGGCAAAGAAACUGAGGGCAUUUUCCCCCUGCACUAGAGAUUUAUGGAACUUUGAACUUGGGAGAGAUGAUUUAGGAUAUCUGGUGAAAGAAAUUUCUAAGCAGCAAAGCAUUCAAAAGGUGACUUGGGUGCUGUUAAAAGCAUCCUAGAGCAUAAAAGUUCAGAAAAUUUGCAGCCUGAUGAUGCACUAGGAAUGAAAAACCCAGUUUUUGAGGAGAAAUUCAAGUUGGCUGCAGAAAUUUGCAUAAAUAACAAGGAGCCUAAUGUUAAUGCCCAAGACCAUGGGAAAAAUGUCUCCAGGCUAUGUCAGAGAUCUUCAUGGCAGCCCCUCCCAUCACAAACCCAGAGGGCCCGAAGGAAAAAGUGGUUUCAUGGGCCAGACCCAAGGUCCCCAUGCUGUGUGCAGCCUAGGGACUUGGUGCCCUGUGUCCCAGCUGUUCCAGCCUUGGCUGAAAGGGGCCAAUGUACAGCAUGGACUGUGGCUUCAGAGGGUGGAAGCCCCAAGCCUUGGCAGUUUCCACGUGGUAUUGAGCCUGUGGGUGCACAGAAGUCAAGAAUCGAGGUUUGGAAGCUUCCACCUAGGUAUCAGAAGAUGUAUGGAAACACCUGGAUGCCCAGGCAAAAGUUUUCUGCAGGGAUGCAGCCCUCAUGCUUGGGCAUGAGGGAAGGGAAAUGUGGGGUCAGAGCCCCCACACAACAUCCCUACUGGAGCACUGCACCGUGUGCCUGGAAUAGCCGCAGACACUCAAUGCCAGCCCUUGAAAGCAGCAGGGAAGGAUGCUGUUCCCUGCAAAGCCACAGAGGCAGGGCUGCCCGUGACCAUGAGAACCCACCUCUUGCAUCAGAGUGACCUGGGUUUGAGACCUAGAGUCAAAGGAGAUCAUUUUGGACCUUUAAAAUUUGACUGCCCCACUGGAUUUUGGACUUUCGUGGGCCCUGUAACCCCUUUGUUUUGGCCAAUUUCUCUGAUUUGGAAUGGCUGUAUUUACCUAAUACUUGUCCCCCCUUGUAUCUAGGAAGUCACUAGAUUGUGUUUGAUUUUACAGGCUCAUAGGCAGAAGGGACUUGCCUUGUCUCAGAUGAGACUUUGGACUGUGGACUUUUGGGUUAAUACUGAAAUGAGUUAAGCCUUUGGGGGACUGCUGGGAAGGCAUGAUUGGUUUUGAAAUGUGAGGACAAGAGAUUUGGAGGGACCAGGGGUGGAAUGAUAAGGUUUGGCUGUGUUCUCACCCAAAUCUCAGCUUGAAUAGUAUCUCCCAGAAUUCCUAUAUGUUGUGGGAGGGACAGAGAGGGAGGUAAUUGAAUUAUGGGACCCGUCUUUCCCAUGCUAUUCUUAUGAUAGCGAAUAAAUCUUAUGAGAUCUGAUGGGUUUAUCAGGGA